rnacentral:lncRNA from 1 species
CUGGCAAAGCUGUGUAUGCCUGACGUCUCAGGAAUCUGCCCAGCGCCACUCUGCCUGACCUCUGACCCUGUCGCUGUCACCGGCCUCACGACGGAACACGAGCCAGUGCACAAGACUGUUUGACUGUUGGGGGGCAGGCAGACAGAUUAGAUGAGGUUCAACUUUAUUGUCAUUGAACAAGUGCCAGUACAGUACAACGAAAUGCGGUUAGCAUCGAACCAGAAGUGCAAAUAGAAGAGGGCAAUGUACCAGAAUUAAGUGUAUGUCAGACGGAGACGGAGAGACAGACAGACAGAGACAGAGAGAGACAGAUAGAGAGACAACCCAAUAUAAGGACAGAGAGACUGACAAAAAGACAGAGAGACAGACAAUAAGACAAGCAGAGAGACUGACAAAAAGACAGAGAGACAGACAAUAAGACGAGCAGAGAGACAGACAAUAAGACAAGCAGAGAGACAGACUGAGAGAGUGUUCCUGCUCAUCUAACUAACAGUAGCAUUAUGAGUGGCUGGAUGAUUAGUUGUUGCGUAAUAACAGUGUAAUUGGGCCACUGAUAGGCUUUGUACCUGUUUCUACUUGUUUGUUUUUUCAGCAUGUACCAGUGUGAAUAUGAGUGAAUGUAAUCAGUGUGUGUUAAUGUUUUUGAGGAUUCAUUUGUUGGGAAAAUUAAAGCGUUGCCAGUCUGCUUGGGUCUGCAACCCAGGAUAGGUCUGGUGCUGUACAGUGGAAACAUGAGAAACUGGAUUUAUUUUAAACUGUACAACAAUGUUUAUGGCUUCAAGAAAUACACUGGAUUUGGACGAGACCUGGCAUCUGAGGAGUUAUCCAGGGGACAUUUCCCUGCAGAGACCUGGCAUCUGAAGAGUUACCCAGGGGACAUUUCCCUGCAGAGACCUGGCAUCUGAGGAGUUAUCCAGGGGACAUUUCCCUGCAGAGACCUGGCAUCUGAAGAGUUACCCACGGGACAUGUCCCUGCAGAGACCUGGCAUCUGAAGAGUUACCCAGGGGACAUCUGCCAUCUGGACGCACAUUCAGACGGUAUGGAAGACCAGACAAGACCAUGAACACAGCCCCAUGUCACUAAGCCCCUCAUCAACAGUCAUCUCUGAUAGUUCACUUAUAACUGACUGCAGGUUAUUGCUCCAGUAGAAUACUGGGAUUAUACAGAUAUGUGUUUUUCUAAUUAAGACAAAGUGAACUGUCACGAUCAAAAUCCAAACAGCCCAAAAUACAGUCAAAUUGUGAAAUCUAAUGGUCUUGACGUGGUUUUUAUGUGGAUUAUAAGAUUCCAACUCUCCUCACCCCUUUUCUCCAUGUUAUUUGAAUCAGGGCGGAUGUCCUCCAUCCACUCCUUGACGCUUCCUUAAACCCAAUCCCUCAAACCAGCUCUGUCCCUCCCUCUCCCUCUCCCUCUCUCCCUCUCUCGCUCUCUCUCUCCUUCUCUCUCCCUCUCAGUUCCCGCACCCCCUUCUGAGAG